GCCUGGGUGGCUCAGUCGGUUGAGCAUCUGGCUUUGGCUCAGGUCAUGGUCUCACGGUUUGUGAGUUCGAGCCCCGCAUUGGGCU
rnacentral:tRNA from 1 species